rnacentral:tRNA from 1 species
CGGGGCGUAGCGCAGCCCGGUUAGCGCGCCUGCUUUGGGAGCAGGAGGCCGGGAGUUCAAAUCUCCCCGCCCCGA